rnacentral:rRNA from 1 species
CCUACGGGUGGCAGCAGUGGGGAAUAUUGCACAAUGGGGGAAACCCUGAUGCAGCGACGCCGCGUGAGUGAAGAAGUAUUUCGGUAUGUAAAGCUCUAUCAGCAGGGGAGAAAAUGACGGUAUCUGAUUAAGAAGCCCCGGCUAACUACGUGCCAGCAGCCGCGGUAAGACGUAGGGGGCAAGCGUUAUCCGGAUUUACUGGGUGUAAAGGGAGCGUAGACGGCAGCACAAGUCUGGAGUGAAAUGCCGGGGCUUAACCCCGGAACUGCAUUGGAAACUGUGCAGCUGGAGUGCAGGAGAGGUAGGUGGAAUUCCUAGUGUAGCGGUGAAAUGCGUAGAUAUUAGGAGGAACACCAGUGGCGAAGGCGGCUUACUGGACUGUAACUGACGUUGAGGCUCGAAAGCGUGGGGAGCAAACAGGAUUAGAUACCCCUGUAGUC